AUGAAAGCUGUGUCCUUUUCUAUUACUUCUAUAAACACCUUUAAAUAGAGGAAAACUACAGUUCUUUUCUUGCUGGAACAUGCCAUGGCAUUUGGUGCAAAAUUCAAAUUUAUAUUAAUAUAAGCAUAUUCCAGUGUCUAAUUCUUUUCUUGCGCAAACUAAGACUCAGUCAUCUUUAUUAAUAAAUAAAUUUUAACAACAACAAAAAAGAUUCAGAGUAACUCACUUAUCUGGUCUUCUGUAUUCUAUAUGAAUAAUCUGAAAUCUGCUCAAGUUCAAAGCCUACGUAAGGUGAUAACAGAUAAAGAUUCUUGGAAGGUAAUAAUUAUCAUGGACAAUAAUGUGGGGGAACAUCCUUUGGAACAAAAUUAUAAAUAUAUGUUUGAAAGGGAAAGUAUGCUAAAUUAUUAGGUACCCAAAGAUAUUCAAAAAUCCCACUACUCAAAACAAUCCUCUUCUGUUUAAAAUAAUUAUGAAAAAAAUGAUGGGAAGGGUGAUCAAGUCAAAGGUAAAGUGCAGGUUUGUGUAUGAAAAAGAGUGUGUAUCUGGUAUUUCAGCAAUAAAGAGUCACCUCAUUUUGAAAUAAGGAAAGAAGCAUCCGUUUUCAGUCUUUUACAACUCAGUGAUGGUGCUUUUAUUACAAAAAGAAUAAACAAAAAAGUAAAUAAAUAUAAGCAUCUCAAAUAUGUUAACAAUCAUUCAACAACUCUAUAAAACAGACAAAUGGAUGAAUACCAGCUGAAAGACUCCAGCUGAAAAGCAGUUGGCCUAAAUUCAAUUGGUAGUCCUAACUAGAGUAGACCUAUUUGAUCAGUUGCUGGAUGGUGAAUCAAGUUAUGUAAGUUUAAUUGAUUCAAUGGGACUAAACUACCUAGGACAACCAAUUAGAUCUGGGGCUCUGACUGCUCCUCAAAAUUCUACUUCUCUUUUUUUCUAGAUAAUUCCUAACAGCUGUACCACAUUCACCAGGGUAAGCUUGAGUGAUCAAAGGACUAGACCUUGUGUUCCCAUUUCUGUAGGCUAUAAGGCUAGGUAUGCAUUCCGGGAAAGGUCACUAAGUUCAAUGUAAACUAUGUAUAGAAUGUAUUGCAAGUCUGAAUAUCCUUCCUACAUGAUUGAUUUUGUUGCUCGGCUGAUGAAUGGCUUCACAAUCUAUAAUUUCUGCAAAUAUUUUUACACUUUUUUUUCUGGAGAGGACAACUCUUCACUUUCCAGUCCAGUUCUCCUGGAAUUCUUGGUUUUCCUGAACUCUGUCACUCAUCCUGUCAUUCUGGGAGAGAUAUCAGAUGCAACGACACGGCAAAUCCAGAAAAUAUAGACGAGCAUUUAUGGGAACGGAAAAGAGGGGACAUAUAGACUCAUGAUGGAAGAUUCUUCUCUCUCCUUGAUUUCUUUGCUUUGCGUGCAUUCUAUAAAUGCUGGAGAAUCUUCUUUGUGUGUGGCUCCUGACCAUGGUCAGGUAAAGCAGAAGACAGUAAGCAAGGACCCAUCUUAUGGGCAAACUGAGGAUGUAGAAAUUCCUUGCUAAAUAUAUGUUUAUCGGUUUAUAGCACAAGUGUCAGAAACCAUACUAAGUGUAUUUCACCUGAUGCUUUUUGACCUCACCUCAGUCAACUCAGUCAGUUUAUGACUGGUAAUUGCCCAUGGCUUGUGGCCAGAAACAUCUAGAGACCACUUGCAGCAGGGUUGUGGAACUCCUGUGGUUCUCCACCUAUUCUUGUUCUAAAAUGCCAAUAAUGGCAGCUGGGACCAAUGGCAAUUUAACAUUUGUACACUGCAAGUUUAUCAACUCAGGCCUUGCAGAAUGAGAAAAGACAGAGCUCUACUUCGUCCUAUAUCCACUUGUUUGCAAGUAAUCAUGUGCCUCCUUUAUUUUACUGCCUUCUUAAGGGAGGAAAGUGAUAAUCACAACUGAGCAGGAGGAGAUGAGGAGGCAGCAAAAUAUUGCUUGGAACAGGUUAGACACGGAAGAGCUAAACAACUGAGAACAGGAGGGUGGCCAGUAAAAUGGAUGCAGGGCAUUGCCUCUGCUUUGAAUUAGGAACUGCUGGCAUGGGAAAAACGAAAGCGAUCAGGUCCCUUCUUUCUAGGACAACCUACAAGUGAUGAGAAUGGAAGGUGGAACACAGGCCACGAAAGACAGGAGCUGUGUAACCACAAUCCCUGCAAAGCAGAUUUCUAGGAAAUCUAGUUGCAAAUCAGACUGGUGGCUAUACUUCAACUUCAAUUCCAUUUGCAAAAACUACACAAAGUUGUUCAUAGCUGUUGGCUGACGGGGAGCUGCUUCUUCCCAUUUCAGUCUCCUUCAAUCCAUUGUUCAGCUUCCUUGGCAUCAGCAUUUCUUGCCUCUCUCUUAAGACCUCAAUUAAACCACAACAUUGUCAUUUUGUUUUCUUCCUGAAUGAAUCUGUUUGUAGAAAAGCUCUGAUCUUGUAUCUGUUGCUUCACAAAUGCUGAAUGACAGCAUUCUACUACACUAAAUAAAGGAUUUGAAAUUA